rnacentral:rRNA from 1 species
GUGGGGAAUUUUGGACAAUGGGCGAAAGCCUGAUCCAGCAAUGCCGCGUGCAGGAUGAAGGCCCUCGGGUUGUAAACUGCUUUUGUACGGAACGAAAAGCCUGGGGCUAAUAUCCCCGGGUCAUGACGGUACCGUAAGAAUAAGCACCGGCUAACUACGUGCCAGCAGCCGCGGUAAUACGUAGGGUGCAAGCGUUAAUCGGAAUUACUGGGCGUAAAGCGUGCGCAGGCGGUUUUGUAAGACAGUGGUGAAAUCCCCGGGCUCAACCUGGGAAAUGCAUUUGUGACUGUAUAGCUAGAGUACGGUAGAGGGGGAUGGAAUUCCGCGUGUAGCAGUGAAAUGCGUAGAUAUGCGGAGGAACACCGAUGGCGAAGGCAAUCCCCUGGACCUGUACUGACGCUCAUGCACGAAAGCGUGGGGAGCAAACAGGAUUAGAUACCCUUGUAGUCC